rnacentral:lncRNA from 10 species
AGCAGACAUUUUCAAAGGCUUCUCUCCCCUUCUUCUCCUCUCUCUGUCCCCCAUGCGGAAAGGGGAAAAUAGAAGUAGAAUCCAGAUUGGGGCGCGUGGCUGAUUUGGUCCUCCUCCCGCACCAUCCUCCCCCAGACAGCAGAGAAACUUUGAUGUCUGGGUGCAUGGCAUUCAGGGACAGAGGAGCCUGGGCAUCCCAGCAAAUGCAGCCGCAUGUUCCGCCUCUGGACGGCCUCUCUGAACUCCUUUGUGAGGGGAGAUGAAGCCCACAGAGCUGGAAAGAGCAGCGUUUUGAAAUGAGGAAGUGUGGAUCGGCAUUCCUUGAGCUCAGUGCUAGCCACCUUGGCGAUGGGGUGAGCCAACCAGGAGCUCAGAUUUAUAAAACUUUUGAGCUUUGUGGGCCCUAGGGGGCCACUGUGGCCUACCUGCUGAUUUUCAGAUGGGGAAAUGGGGGCUCAGAGAGGGGACAAGAUUUGCUUAAUGGCACCUAGCAAAUUGGUAACAGGUCCAGGAGUAGAUUCCAUGCCUUCAGCCUCUGGUGAGACGUCUUUCCUCUGCACCAGGAAGUGGAACUUCAAACAGCACCAGGGGUUGGAACUUUUGUUUCAAAUCCUCUCUGCCUCAUCCCCACCCACUGCCCAGCAACUCAAGGCUGGGUCUUUCGCCCCCUCAGGCUCAGAAGGGCUGUGGCCCAGCCACAGAGCCAGGGGGCCUCCUCAGUAGUAUUGGCCUUCACACUCUUGGUGCUAAAGUUCUCCAGUUACUUUUUUAUUAAACCAACAUGUACAGAAAAACUCAGUUUUCGGCUGGGCACAGUGGCUCACACCUGUAAUCCCAGCACUUUGGGAGGCCGAGGCAGGCAGAUCACUUGAGGUCAGGAGUUCGAGACCAGCCUGGCCAACAUGGUGAAACCCUGUCUCUACAAAAAUACAAAAAUUAGCUGGGCGUGGAGGCGCGUGCCUGUAGUCCCUGCUAGUCAAGAGGGUGAGGCAGGAGAAUCGCUUGAACCUGGGAAGCCGAAGUAGCAGUGAGCCGAGAUCGCGCCACUGCACUCCAGCCUGGGUGAUAGAGCUGGAGGGAAACCCUGAUACCACUUCUGGGUCCAGAUGGCUGUGGCUGGAAUGCGGCCACAGCCAGGAACAGCGUGGUACGGAUACCAGUGGGGCUCUGGUCUUUUCCCAGAGGCUGGCACCUUUCAUGCCGAGUUGGGCCUCGGGUCUCGGGGCUCUAGGCCCUGCUGUGCCAGUGGCCUGAUGUGUGGCCUUAUAUGCCAGUCACACCCUGCUCCAGACCUCGGUUUCCUCAUCCACAAAAUGGGAAAGCUGGGCUAGAAAAUCUCUCAGGAAGGUAGGUCUCUGCUAGCUCCCAGCCUUCCAUGGCAGUGCAAAGGGAACCUUCCCAACAAAGUAAGAGCCAAAGGCUAAGAUGGCAGUCUGUGGUUUGUAGAACCUUCUAGAAGACCACGAGACUUGGUAAGCUGAGCUUCUAAGUGGUCCAGGAUGCAGGGCUGGUGUCACAGGUGUGUGACCAGUAGAGCUACACAGGGCUUUGUGCCCAGAAGGGCCCCACGCUUGGGAAAUAAGGCUCUGCAGUCACUGUCUUCAAAUUCUUAAUAAUUUUAUCUUUGUCACUGUGUUUUGUAAGUGAAGUCCAAUGGGACAGUGGAAUGUGAACUGGGAGCAUGGAGCCUCCCAUCUCCCUGCGUCCAGGAUCUGCUUCUCAGCUGCUUGCUCCUCUGCCCCCACAGCUCCAGCUCCAGCUCCACUCACCUUCUACCUCCCUGCCUCCCACCCAGCAACCACUGCCAACCUGCCCCCAACCUGGGCACAGGCACACCCUGUGGGGGAGGGGGACAAGCACACCCCACAGCAUCUCAGAGUGGGGCAUGGUGGCAGCAGUCCCCAUCCUGCACUGGCAGCCCAGGGCACAUUUCAUGUGGGACUCUGCGGGGGUGAGCCUCUAGCCCCCCCCAGAUCCAGUACCUCGUGUGUCCUGGUACAAAAUUUGUAGUGCCCCGGGGGCUGCCCAUCUGCUAUGGGUUGGGGCAGGGGCCUGUGGGAGGAUGCCUGGCUCAACCUCCUGCCCUAGGCCUGGAGCACAACAUGUGGGCCCAGCAGCUCACAGGAAAGGGAGCCAGAAGAUGGGUUCAAGUGUUUGUGUGUUCCCCAAGUCACCAGGGUGCCUGUGGGGGUCUGCACUCCCCCAGGAGAACCCUCAUGUCUAGGGAGCACUCCAUGGGGUCAUCUCCAUGCCUGAGAGGACCCUCUCUUCCUUCUUUCAACCUUCCGGAGCCCAGCUUGUCUCUUCCGGCCAGGUCAAGGUAUCCUCCUGAGAGAACCGUGAAAUACAGUGUGCCGCUUUGAUAAUUCCACAUGCAUGUUCAAUAUUCGGAUAUUUCCAGUUAAAACUGGCAUUGCACAAUAUAAAAAGGAAUGGUAAAAGUCAUGCUAAUAAUUUAAAAUUUUGACUUUACUUAGAAUGGUAUUAACUAGCAAAUUUAAAACACCAUGACAAAUUGAAAGUGAGACUGGGGAAGAAAGCAAAAAGCAUGUUUUCUGACUGUUUGAACAAGGGGCCCCACAUUUUCGUUUUGUAGUGGGUCCUGAAAAUUAUGUAGCCAGUCCUGCCUGGUGAGCCACCUACCCUCUUGGGCAUUUAGUUGUCUAUCAGUAAACUAGAUCAUUAACACUGCGCCUGCCCCUCCUGCUCACGGGCACGUUAGGAACAUGCGCUUGGAUAAAAUCCAAGCCAGAGAUUUAGAAACCAGUGUGUGGUGCCAGCUCUCAGCCUUGGAACCACAAGCCCAUUUUUCUUAAAAAGGGAUCUGGACUGGCAUCCAAAGAGAUUUCAGUCCCCUCAUAUAGGUUUAACCACCAUGGGCAAGGCAGUCUCUCUCCCAGGUAUUCCUCUCACUAGGUGCUCUGCUCUAGAAAUGAAGUCUAAAAGCAGCCCCAUCAAUACAGAACAGAGUUAGAACCACCCGGAGAGAUUUAAUCUGGAAUCCCAGCAAGUUGUGAAAUGGAAAGACUAGUCGGCCAGAGAGCUGAGGUCUCACAGUGUGCAAAGACCAGUCCUCAGUAUCUGCACCCAUCCAUUUGAGUUUCAGGUGAAGCCUAGGAUUUGGGAGCUCAAUACAAAGAUGCCAGCAUGAAGGAGGGUGGGUGCCAACUAGGUUUGGAUUUAGAGACAUCCUCCUUUUGGGAAAGGAAAAUAUCCUGAUUCCACUUAGGUUUCCAGGAAGAAGGCAUCCCCAUUUCAGAACAGUUUUCUAAGCCACCCUCAUGGAGGUUUCACCUGCAGCUUUCAGUCUGCUUUGUCUGAUGUUUGAGGAUGCAACUGCCCAAAAAUGGGUCUAAAGUAGCAUCCCGUCACGUUCUGUAAAAAGUAAUACUGCUUUAAGGUAACACUUAUGGAAUGAAUGAAUGCAUGAAUGAAUGAGUCAGUUUGGAUGAAGUUGCCUCAAAUAGAGUCUAAAUAUAAGAUUUCAUACUCGAUAGUGUCAUUUCAGGAUCAGGAAAAAUUAGGUGACUCCCAUUUGGUUUCUACAGCUUUUCCCCAAUAUCAUGUUAAAGUUUUGGCUUUUAUCUUAUUUCACUUAUUUCAUUUUGAGUCAUGUCUUCUGGCUCCAGCUCAGCUUCCUAGAGAUAAUUCAUUAGGCCCGAGAGCUGCUCCAGAGUGGGAUUAGAACCCGUGUAGUACAUAGUCACAUUAAACUGAGAUCGGCUAAUUAAUCGCUCUUCUCCGUGUAACUGAGCGAUCGCGCUCCUUCCCCGAGGAAUUGCAAUUUCAUGGUUCCUAAUGAUGGUGCGAUUACAUUAUGUGGAUCACUUAGGCUGUGGGUGUCAGGAGCGGUACUUGGAGCCUCUCUCGGUGGGGAUGGGAGAAGUCACUUCUAAAACCGGGGAGAUGGAGGAAAGCAGUUAGAAUGUCUGUUACUAAUUUUUGUUAACGUGCUGCUGUUUCCUACAUCUCAUUCAGGCAUUAGUUUCAAGUUCCAUUUUCCCCCAGCACCGUGUGGCACCUUCCCCAGAACCCUCACAUUUUUUUUCUAAUAUUCACAGGGUUAUUGUUUGUAAAAAAUCUAUUUAUUUGCUUUAUUCCAUCAAGUAAUUUAUUUUCAUGAGAUUUCUUGGAAAUGUGGCUCUACAUAUCGUUAGUACAAGUAAUACAUUUUGAUUGUUGUUUCCUGGAAUAACUUGUAUUAUUUGAUGAGUUAAAUAAAAUGCCUAAUUCUAAA